rnacentral:rRNA from 1 species
UGGGGAAUAUUGCACAAUGGGCGCAAGCCUGAUGCAGCCAUGCCGCGUGUAUGAAGAAGGCCUUCGGGUUGUAAAGUACUUUCAGUCGGGAGGAAGGUGGUAAGGUUAAUAACCUUGGCAAUUGACGUUACCGACAGAAGAAGCACCGGCUAACUCCGUGCCAGCAGCCGCGGUAAUACGGAGGGUGCAAGCGUUAAUCGGAAUUACUGGGCGUAAAGCGCACGCAGGCGGUUUGUUAAGUCAGAUGUGAAAUCCCCGGGCUCAACCUGGGAACUGCAUCUGAUACUGGCAAGCUUGAGUCUCGUAGAGGGGGGUAGAAUUCCAGGUGUAGCGGUGAAAUGCGUAGAGAUCUGGAGGAAUACCGGUGGCGAAGGCGGCCCCCUGGACGAAGACUGACGCUCAGGUGCGAAAGCGUGGGGAGCAAACAGG